CCUACGGGUGGCAGCAGUGGGGAAUAUUGCGCAAUGGGCGAAAGCCUGACGCAGCGACGCCGCGUGAGGGAUGAAGGUCUUCGGAUCGUAAACCUCUGUCAGCAGGGAAGAACGGUCACUGUGCUAAUCAGCAGUGAAUUGACGGUACCUGCAAAGGAAGCACCGGCUAACUCCGUGCCAGCAGCCGCGGUAAUACGGAGGGUGCGAGCGUUAAUCGGAAUUACUGGGCGGAAAGCGCGCGUAGGCGGUAUGUCAAGUCAAGAGUGAAAUCCCGAGGCUCAACUUCGGAAGUGCCUCUGAUACUGUGCGGCUAGAGAGUAGUUGCGGUAAGCGGAA
rnacentral:rRNA from 1 species